ACCUGAAGGGAGCAGUGUGGAACCUGAAGGUGGAUAGGGAAGGGAGUAACGAAUGAUAGAGUCUUUUCUAUGAGGACGAGGAAGGCCAGUGCCAACACCUGAAGUGAAGAGGCCUCCUAAUGCUUUCUAGGAUCUGGAAGAAGUUCAGUGUGAGGACGAGUGUUAGGAAAUAAGGCUGAAGACAGAGGCAACCCUGGAGGAUCUUCUAACCCAUGUCAAGCAGUUGAGAAUUUAUGGAGUGAAAUAGCAAGCCAUUGAAGAGUUUCAAGGAAGCUGUGGCAUUUUUUCUAUUUCUACACAAGAAGAAGUAUAGAAUCAAGAUUUUG
rnacentral:lncRNA from 10 species